rnacentral:misc_RNA from 1 species
UUCACAUUCGCGGAGCCUGAACCUGAACAAGACUUGCUGAGGAUCCAAGGUCGCUGCUCGCUGGUACGUACAAAUUUGUGUGGCAAAACACGUUGUGAUCCUGUCGCACUCGCACGCAUCCUCUCCGGUCCGCGGGCGGGGGGUGGGGGGUGGAAGGAAAAAAAGACCCAUGACGACGACCGACCGAGCUACCACCUAGUAGCUGGUAUACAGCAGGGACGCCUUGCACCUGAGCACGAAGCCGAGGAGCAGCAGCAUGGCGAGGAGGCCGCCGGAGGACCCCCACACGCGGUGGAUCCAGUAAGGGUCGAACCUGACCACGCGCCGGUCCAUGAAGCACGUAACGUUGAUGGCGAGGAUGAGCGCGAGGAGCACCGCCGGCAGCCACAGCGCCGACGGGCCGCCGCCGUCGUCCUCGUCCUCCUCCUCUCGCUCCGCCACGGGCCGCCGGUCGAUGUACAGCGGGGACAGCACCGCCAGGACCGCCAGGACGAAGCACACCAGCUUCUCCGUGGAAGAGGACCUCCCCAUGGCGACGACCGAGGACGAGGUGCACGCGCGGCCUCUCUCUCGCUCUCCGAGUCCGGUGCCUAUAUAUGUAGCAAGCGUGUAGCUGCUUGCUGCUUGAGAAAGAGAAUAACGCUUCUUUAUGCUAGCUAGGAGCAGAUGUUCGGCGGCUGGCCGAUGAAGAUGAACCAACCAGUCUUCAGAUGGACGCAAGGAGAGAACCUUUUGUUAUGCUUAUCUAUCACUAUUAAUACGGCCGUGUAGCUUCUGACUGCUCAUUGAUUCGUGCCAUGCAUGCAGAGGAACAUGUUCAGGUUGUCUUGCUCUUGCAUGAUUUAUGUAUGUAUGUAUCCACACAGGACUAUUGGUCUAGUGGUGCGCAUUGGAUUGGAUUGGACUGUGACCUAGCUAAUAAAGGAGAUUCUCCAGAGCUAGUGAGCCUGGAAUCAGAUGCCGAGAGGCAAGGAGUGGUCCAAGUGCUCGACGAACAGUGCAG